CUGAUGUCUGAUACAGCAGAUCAUCACUGGCUUUUGAUGGAAACAACGAUAUAUGUGAUGACCCUUUCUGGUAGGAAACGUUCAAGUACAUUUUGUCGAGUAGAUGUAAUGAAACUAUAAAUUAGUUUUUACUAAAUGAAGAAAGCAGGCAAGUUGGUGUUCGAGAACGUCCUUGCACGUUUCCAGUAAAUGUGGCACCCCGAGCCAUUCUGAAAGCUGCCCUCCCUAAAUGGGCGGUCUGUGUCUUUCUCCUUUUCUCCCCUUGCAAGAUCCUUGCAGGACAGGAGGGAGUCCAGGUCAAGGCAUAAUACUCACAUACACAGCUGGGCUUGUUGCCAGACCACUGAUUGUUCUGCUGACAGGUGAUAACUCUCUCCCCCACCAGCUCAAAGGCCGCCGGGCAUUCAAAGGCUGGGAGCCAUCAUGGCUGACUCACUAUGAUCUCAGGCUCCUGGGCUCAAGUGAUCUUUCGACCUCAGCCCCUGGAGUGGCUGGGACAACAGACAGCAAAUUUAACCAAGGUAAAUUUCAGCACCUUGAUUCACGUAUAUUGACAUUGAGGUGAAGAACUAUGACCUGUUAGAAUAAAACUGAUCAAAGAUGACCACAAAAGAUUUUAGUGUCUACCAUCUCUAAAAGGAACAUCACUUUUCAAAUCAAUUAAUGGAAAAGGAAGCUGGAGACUGUCCACCUGCUCUUUCCCUCAAUUGCCUCCUCUCCUCCUUCAAUGUCAUCUUAAGUGACUUCUCCUUAUUAAACACCAGGACAGAUGAAGAUACAAGGCAAUAUAAUUUUUUAUUUAUGUUUUUAUUUCUUGACACUGCCACUUUCAAGGUGAGAUGCCAUAAUUAACUUUUUAAAAACUUGUCAACUUACUUUAUUUUUCUUACAUUACAAACCACUAAGUCAAAUUAUU
rnacentral:lncRNA from 1 species